CUUUGAAAGAGUGGAGUCAGAAUAACUGAAUAUAAGCUCUGAAGGACAGUCUAAGAAGAUGAUGGGGUGGACUUUAAUCUUCAUUAGACUAGUGCUGUCCUUUACAGAGUCAUGACUGAGACCAGAGUCUGACCUGCAGACUAAGGAAAACAUUGUCUCUUAUGGCAGGAGCUGCUUGGCUAGAGGCAAAUUGUCAACAGUGGUAAUAAAAGGCAAAAGACCAAGGAAAAGGGCAAUUGCCAGGAUUAAAAAGAUUUAAAAAGGUCUAAGAAAGGUCUACCAUGGGGUGGACAAAUACUAGGAUAAAGCCCCAGUGUAUCCUCCUAUAAUAUGAGAUAAUGAGAGUCUGGAGUCUGACUAAAGGUGUGCCUGACGAAGCUGGACUUGAAACACUCAUAUUCACACACUGGGAGAGGAUCCUAUCCAAGAGGGAGAACUCUAUGGGCUUUCCUUUGUUCUCCUCAGUUACCACGAGAGGGAUUCAAAGGAUGAUGUGACCAUUCUCCUCACACUUAGAAGGACCUUGUGUUUGUGGUGGACAUACGAGUGAAAGUGGAUUUUCUUCUUCUUCCUACAGAGGAUUGUGGAGUAGCUUCCAAGCUGAUGAAAGAAUUGCAGAUUGCUAUUUACAGAAAAGCUGAAGAACAUCAGGGUAUCACCUGCAGAAUACUGACCCAUAAGAAUGCUGUAAAAAUGCUGAAGGGAGAUCUGGAGGCACUUUUCAAAGUGAUCAUCUUUUAUUUUUCUUCUGCUUUAGGAAAAGGAAGAGUUUAAAACUCCAGGCUUCUACAUUCCCUCCCUUCAAGUCACUCUGAGAUUCCCAGUCUUGUGGCUAACCUGGACAACCUGUAGGUAGAGGGAUGCAGGAUCAUAGGGUGGACAAAACCAGUAUGAUGCAUUUAACAAUUAUGGAUCAUGCUGGGGAACAAAAGAUAAUAAAAAAAAAACCCUAAUAUACAAUGGAGGCUUAAGGAGACCAGCAAGAACUAUGAGUGCAUGAUCAAAAUGCUCCUUAUGUUGGCCCAAGUCACCAACAAAACAUCACAAUUUAUAUUUUCAGAUGCCAGAAUGGGAUUUUAACAGAUGCCAGUUGAGAUUUUAUCUUCUAAAAAUUUUAGUUCAUCUUAAGAGUAAAGUUAAACAUAGAGAACUGCAUUAUGAAAGUCAAGAAAAAAUCACACAAUGAUUGAAUUGUUUGUUCUAUGAAGUGCACUGUAGCAGAUAAAUAGGAGAAUAUCUAUCUGUAAAUCUAUCAAAGCCUUCAAAGACCCCAUAAUAAAGAGCCCAGCCUAAACAAUUUCUGGAAAUUGAAAUUCCCUUGUGUCUGACUUGCCAUCUGACUCUACAGAAGUUCAGCCAGAGUAAAAGUAGAUUCUGAUGUUUAUAUUGUGUGGUGUCUCUUUGAGUUCACGAUGAAUUAGUUCUCAUUUUUUACUUUCAAUGCAAGCUUAGAUGGUAAUGUGAAACAUUGAGUGUAAAACCUUCAUGAACUGCACAAGCAUAGGAGCAAUCUAGAAGUUUGGAGCCUGGAAUUAAAAUCAAGUUCAGUAUGUCGUAUAUAAUUUCCUUGAUUUAUUUGAACUCUAUUGUUGUUUUUGUUAGUAUUACUUAUUUAAAUGUUUAACUUAAAGUUUAAAGUUGAAUAUUAAGCAGAGAUGUGACACUGAUAAUGCACUUCCUGAUUAUUUCCUAAUGUUAUGUUGUUUUGGUAUUUGAAAUAGUCAUUAUUUUUAUGUCCUUGGAAAGAACAUACCUCAGCAAUACUACAGAUAAGGAACUAAUGUUGUGUUUUGCUGGCAAUAACCAUCACAUUUUGUAUGGAUGCUCACUGAUAAUUGCAAAAUUGUGUAUUCUGGCAUCUCAUUCACAAGACUACUCUUUUUAAAAUGCCAAAUUACAAAACUGUGGUGGCAAAAAUUUCACGAACCAUGUAUUUAGAGAAACAUUAACAGAGAAUUUAUUAGAAAUUGGGAUUUUCUGGACCUGAAUGGUAGAAUGAAGACUCUUAGAGUCUUAUGUGUUGGAAUAAGGGAACAAACUGUGAGACAGAACCAUCAGUUGAGGAUGAAAUAAAGGAGAUGAAGGAGAGAGAGAAGGACUGAAGAAAGAAUUUCUCAGAGUAAAGCUGGAAGGAAGAUAGUUGGAAUAGUAGAAAAGGACUGGGAGUCUUGCCAUUGUUCUUCAGUCAGUCUUUCAACAAGGUGGUCCCAAUAAAGCCCCUCCUGAAGAUCAUCAAGAGAUAGACACAGGAGAUUCCCAACCAAACAAAAUCUCCCUCAAACUGUUAAUCUGGAAGGUGGCUGUAAGACACAGGUUUUGAAGACACUGAGUGAGAACAGCAAUUGCUUUGGAUUUGUUUCCUUGGGCACUGUUGGGCACAGAGAUAUCCAAAAUGAGACUAUUUUGUUUUGUGAUUUUGCAGAGCUGCUUCCUUGGGUCCGUUCACCCACCUCUUCACAGCUGGCCCUGAUUGCCCCUCUAGGAGUGGGGAGUUUGUGGAGUGUGGCAACCAAAUGCACACAGAGCACAGCAUAUGCAAAGCCUCAGUGUAAUUCCUCAGUGUAGCCUCCCUGAAAAAAAAUGUAAUAAUCUCUGCACCAGUUAAUAUUUUAGGUCAAAUCCUGGCCUUGCUGAAAAGACAAAAUCCCUGGUGAAUUAAUGAAAACAGAAUUUUUCAUCCUUGUGUUCCCUUACAGGUGCAAUAUAUAAGGAGAAUUUAUUAACUGCCAUAGAGUUCAGAGUAGGCAUUAGUGUGAUUUGAGUAAAAAAUAUUGAACAAAAAGGAAAUUAAUUCUUCCCUUUUUCCCUUACAUUUUUAACUGAUGUGGCAAUUUAAUAAGCCAGACAAUUUUGAUUUAAAAAAAAAUAUUCUGCUUUAAAUAACAACUCUUCUCAUUUUUUAAUAAUAAAUGGGGUAAUUAACCAUCUGAAGACAUUAAAAAUACACUGCAAAAUCUGUCGAAUGGAAUGACCCAAACUUCCAGAAGUCUGGAAACUCUUGUUAGCAUGCAAAGCUGUGUCCAUGAAAGUAUUUUUUCAUACUUGCCUGGAGUUUUAGAAUAUGUAAUACUCAUCUGUAGGACAAUAAAUAAUAGAGUUAAAAAUUUGUGUUAAAUUGAAGUAACAUGUAUUUAAAAAAACUUGCUCGUUCAGACACUAAGAAAUACAGCCAUUCACUUUCAAAAACUUGCAUUUCAUUCAUACUUGGAGUUUAAACUUUGAAAACUGUUUCAGGUAUUUUAUCUGCAAUGCCAUUCUUCGCUAAUAAUUCGUCCCUGGUUCACUGCAGCAGAUCUGCUCAGGAUGAAGAACUGAUUGCACUGAUUUGCAUUACCUAUGGCAAACAUUAAGAAAGGGGGUGCUGAAUGUGAACAGCUUUCAGCAGCAUCAGAUCGGUUUUUGAAAACCAUCUAGGGUGAAAUGUAUGGAAACUCUUCUUACUGUGAGCAGCAUAUUUAGCCAUUUCAUUGUAGUCAUCCUUUUUUACUUUUCUUUGAAAGACUUGGUAUUAAAUACAAAUAAGCAAGGCUAUCUCUGAUUUAAAAAAUAAGGCCUUGAAAUGGAAUAAUUAAAAGACACCUGAGAACAUAAAAGGGUAAAAAGAAAAAUUGAUAGGGUAGAUCAAACAUUGCUGCAUUUUGCUUCAUUUUAAAGAUCUGUAUCAUGUUCAGUGAGAGCUGCUGCCUGUCAAGUUACAGCCCUCUGUUAUCCUAUCCCUCACACAGGUUUUGGUUCAUAACCAAACUCCUUAGCCGCAGGCAAACAUUAAUAAUACAUAAUGUCUUGCUAUAUAAUAAUAAUACAUAAUCUCUAGGAAGUGCUAAUAGCACUUGCUAGCUUGACAUCUCAUUGACUCUAGCCUAUAAUGAUAUUUACAUAUAUUUCUCCAUAGUGUAUAAGUGAAUAUCAAACCACUGAGACAAGCGAAUACCUCAAGAAGAGCUGAACACAUGAAUUGCAAGACACAAUAAAUUUCUUCUGCCAUUACAUCAUCUCCCAGGCUUUAAAAUCUGUUUCAGAAGGGUUUUUUUCCUCCACAUAAAUGCAAUGAUAACACUGACAAGAAAUAGGAAUUCUGGUGAUAUACUCUUGGCUCACCUUUUCUGUAUCUUUUGACAACAAUAAAAUCUUGCAGUAGAAGCAUAAA